rnacentral:rRNA from 1 species
CAGUCGCCACGGUAAUACGAAGGGGGCUAGCGUUGUUCGGAAUUACUGGGCGUAAAGCGCACGUAGGCGGACUUUUAAGUCAGGGGUGAAAUCCCGGGGCUCAACCUCGGAACUGCCUUUAAUACUGGAAGUCUUGAGUGUGGAAGAGGUAAGUGGAAUUGCGAGUGUAGAGGUGAAAUUCGUAGAUAUUCGGAGGAACACCAGUGGCGAAGGCGGCUUACUGGCUCAUACUGGACGCUGAGGUGCGAAAGCGUGGGGAGCAAACAGGAUUAGAUACCCGGGUAGUCCCUGUCUCUUAUAC